GAGUUUGAUCCUGGCUCAGGACGAACGCUAGCGGCGUGCCUAAGGUAUGCAAGUCGAACGGCCCGCAAGGGUAGUGGCGAACGGUCGAGUAACACGUAGACAACCUGCCUCCGAGUGGGGGAUAACUGUGGGAAACCGCAGCUAAUACCGCAUGUGGUGGAGAGCGGCAUCGCUCUUCUACUAAAGGAGCAAUUUGCUCGGAGAUGGGUCUGCGGCCUAUCAGGUAGUUGGUGGGGUAACGGCCUACCAAGCCGACGACGGGUAGCUGGUCUGAGAGGAUGAUCAGCCGGACGGGGACUGAGACACGGCCCCGACUCCUCCGGGAGGCAGCAAUGAGGAAUCUUGCACAAUGGGGGCAACCCUGAUGCAGCGACGCCGCGUGGGUGAGGAAGUCCUUCGGGAUGUAAAGCCCUUUUGAUCGGGACGAACUCCAUGACGGUACCGAUCGAAUAAGCCCCGGCUAACUACGUGCCAGCAGCCGCGGUAAUACGUAGGGGGCGAGCGUUGUCCGGAUUUACUGGGCGUAAAGAGCGCGUAGGCGGAAGCUUAAGUGUGGCCUGAAAGCCCCCGGCUUAACCGGGGAAGGUGGCUGCAAACUGGGCUUCUUGAGGGGGAUAGGGGAAAGUGGAAUUCCGGGUGUAGCGGUGAAACGCGUAGAGAUCCGGAGGAACACCAGUGGCGAAGGCGGCUUUCUGGGUCCGCCCUGACGCUGAGGCGCGAAGCGUGGGGAGCGAACGGGAUUAGAUACCCCGGGUAGUCCACGCCGUAAACGAUGGUCACCAGGUGUGUGCGGUAUCGACCCCGCACGUGCGUCGCUAACGCUUUAAGUGACCCGCCUGGGGGA
rnacentral:rRNA from 1 species